ACUCCCUCUGUGCCGCCGCUAACGCAUUAAGUAUUCCGCCUGGGGAUUACGGCCGCAAGGUUGAAACUCAAAGAAAUUGACGGGGACCCGCACAAGCAGCGGAGCAUGUGGUUUAAUUNGAAGCAACGCGAAAAACCUUACCAGGCCUUGACAUCGAGUGAAAGUCUUAGAGAUAAGACCCUCCUUCGGGACACGAAGACAGGUGCUGCAUGGUUGUCGUCAGCUCGUGUCGUGAGAUGUUAGGUUAAGUCCUGCAACGAGCGCAACCCUCAUAUGUAGUUGCCAUCAUUAAGUUGGGCACUCUGCAUAGACUGCCGUGGUUAACACGGAGGAAGGUGGGGAUGACGUCAAAUCAUCACGGCCCUUACGGCCUGGGCUACACACGUGCUACAAUGGCUAUUACAAAGAGUUGCAAUACAGUAAUGUGGAGCGAAUCUCAAAAAGAUAGUCUCAGUUCGGACUGUGGGCUGCAACCCGCCCACACGAAGUCGGAGUUGCUAGUAAUCCCGAAUCAGCAUGUCGGGGUGAAUGCGUUCCCGGGUCUUGUACACACCGCCCGUCACGCCAUGGGAGUCGGAAGUGCCCAAAGUCGGUGACCUAACCGUAAGGAAGGAGCCGCCUAAGGUAAUGCCGAUGACUGGGGUGAAGUCGUAACAAGGUAACCGU
rnacentral:rRNA from 1 species